CAAUGAGAUAUUAGCAGCUCUUAAAAAGUUACCACCAGAAACACUGCUCCAGAAGCAUAAUUUUCAUUCAAGCCAUCAAACUUAAGCUUAUUUGCUCCAUGGAAUCUAAAUUCAACUAGUACUGUCGUUCGGAACAAAUCAAAACACAACUAAAAUCAAGAGGAUACCCAAACAAACAUAUCACCAAUAAUUUGAUGGAUAUCGAAGAAAAUAUCGAAAGAUAAGACGACCCG
rnacentral:lncRNA from 1 species